UAGAAAGAAUACAGGCCCCAAAACUUGUAUUUUGGAAGGAAGUUCUCAAACUGGAGGGUCAAUUCCUACCUUUAAAGACAGAACCUAAGGAUAUACUGCUGUGGUCACCUAGGAUCCUAUUUCUACAAAGGUAUUUGCCAGAUCAAACGGUUACUGACACCCUGUAUGUCACUGGAAAGGACAGAACAGGAGCACCUGGUCUUGCCAGAAAUAGGAAGAGAUGAGUCAGUCACUCUUUUAAUUCAGUUUAGUAUGCUCCUAACCCUCCAGGUCACAAAACAUUUUCUUCCCAUUCCCAUCACCUCUUUACUUCCCAAACUCGUGGUCUUGGAUCAGAAGAAAGCGAGAGGACCUGGGCAGGAACCAAACCGGUAACCACAAGGACAAACGUGCAAAGAGGAGGGAAGACAAGACUCAAGUCAGAUGCUGGAUGAGAAGCUGUGUAGAGGUGUCCAGCUCUCCUGCAGGUCAUCCAGAAUUUCAACGCUGCUCACUUGUGAAGUGAAAAGACAGCACGAGGGGCCAUCAACACCUCCACUCGCCACACCCGACUAGUCUCCAGGAGAGGUAGAAGACUUGCAGCCUAAAGGAGAUAAGCCAAGGCCAGAUGAACUAGUGCACUGAGAAGCCUCCUCUGCAAACCUGAGGGCCACCUGCUCUCAGCCCCGCACAGACCUGCUGUAGUUCUCCUCAGGGCCUCGCUCUUCUGCGUCAGCCUCGUCCGUCCUGUCAUAUGUCAGGAGGUCUGCAGGGACAUCAUGAAUCUGGACACUAGGCGCAUGGUUUAGCAUCUUCAAGUUUUCAAAGAUUGUCUGUCGGAUCUGGUCCAGAUACUAGUUGAGAGGAAAAGAAAAGUCAGCAGCUCCUGGGUAAUUCCCUGACUGUCCUGGUUUUAAGUAGUAUUUUGAUUUCAGAUACCAGUUGAUGACUGUUCCUACUUUAUUCUGGGUUGUCCCAAGAUGGUACGAACAACAACAGUGAGAGCCCAUGCCUCCUU